UUUAUAUAAACUCACUGAUAUCCAUGUCAUAACAUAACAAUAACUCACAAAGCAGUAGCCUCCUCCCUCUUACUUCAUCUGUUUUAUUCAGCCAGUAUUCAUUUUUAAUGAAUCAUUUAUGACUCGAGUGACUUUAUCCGAAACCAAUUCUGUAAUGACUCGCAAACACCAUUUCUGCCACUAGAGAUAUGAAUAAAAUUGAGAUUGCUCUAAAUUGAUUUCUAAAGGUAAUGGGAUUAACUGUCUUAGUGUUGAUUAAAUUAAUUUCUCUCGCCAGGCGCAGCUCCAUAACCCAUUCAAAUUUGUAACACUCUCUUUUUCCAUCUCACACAGGAAUAUGUUGCUUACAGCCACACGGGCAGGAUCAUACCGGCUAUCUGGUUCCGAUACGACCUCAGUCCGAUCACAGUCAAGUACACCGAGAGGAGACAGCCCUUCUACCGCUUUAUCACAACAAUCUGUGCCAUCGUUGGCGGGACAUUCACAGUCGCAGGAAUCAUCGACUCCUGUAUAUUCACCGCUUCAGAGGCCUGGAAGAAGAUCCAGAUAGGAAAAAUGUCAUGAGGACUGUUCCCCUCCCCUCCUCACACCUUAUUUAUAAGUGCAAAGUUGCUAUCCUGUUAGCUAAAUCCAAUCCUGCUCAAACCAACUUCCUUUUGGAGACUGUAUCAUCGUGAACCAGCGAAGUGGCUCCGGCACUCGAUCUAACUAGCAGGCUACACGGCUGCGUCUCAGUUACUUAAGGUCCUCUCCUUUUGCUCUGGUGACGUGUGGACGCUGACUAUCACAUGUCCGCUUCCUCCGUUUUCAGUGUCAAGAGAGGAGAGCUCUUUUAUUACUGUGGGGAUUAUGUCUAAAUGUGUCAGGGUUCAACCAGUAUGGAUAUUUGAAGGCUAAACCUGUUUUUUUUUUUUAAUUAAGUAAAAAAGAAUCUAAUAUUUGUGCUGAUAUUCAGUUUUUUGGUUUUUUUUAAUCUGGCGCUAAAACCAUGUGUGAAAAAUCUCCAUAUAGGGACAAUUUCAAUUUAGAGUGGUAUACAGACAAAAAGACAUAAGUCAGUGUUUAAAUUAAUUCAAAAAGGGAUCAGACAGGUCUAUUGUUCAACCUGUAUAUCUGUCCAACUGUGCUGGGUUUGUUUCUCCAAUACUGCCAAAAGAAAUGAUCAUUUGAAGGAAGUUUUCAGGUUUGUGUAGUGGGGCGCGAACUGGAUUCUAAUAGUAUUUCAGUAGUUCAUACUGUCCAUAAAGGUACAUUUUAUAUCAUGUGACACUAUUCUUUUCUUCAGCCAUACAUUUUAUCUCCAGUAUUCUCCAGAAACUGUCUGCCUUUUUAGGUUUACCAUCAGCUCUCAGGCGUCUUGUCUUUCUCUUUCAGUGGCUGCCACUGAAACCUGAAUUUCCUGAAGUUUCUUUCAUGCAUGUUACGGUAGAUUUACUUUUUAGAGACUUUUUUUCCCAAUACAGUGAUCAUUGUUUACCUUUCAGUCCAUUUAUACCAAAUAUUUCAUCAGUGCUGUUAAAGGUCCUAGCUCUGACCUUUUCCUUUGCCUUUCAAUUAUUGCAUAAAAUAAAAUGAAUGUCUAAUUUUUCCCAACAGAUUGGUUAGGUUUGGUUUUUUUAAACACGGUACAUGAAUUUGUUUACUUCUUGUGUUUCCAUGAAGUUGUAAAUUGUCAGGAAGAUUUGGUUUUGUAAGGAGAGAACUUGUAGGCCAGGAUGUCUUUCCUCUUUGGUAAUAUUUUUCCCUUUUAUACUGUAGUAUAAAAGAUCUCUCUGAUCAAGGACGGUGAUGACCACAGUCCCUCGGAACUGGUCUUUCUGGUUUAUUUUCUUUUCUGUCUCAAAUUACUCUGUAAUGCUAUGUGUUCCUCAAGUAAAGGUGCCAUAGAAACCAC